CCUAGAGGGGCGCUUGGCGCGCGCGCUGGCUUCCGCGUCGGUUUUGAGCUGCCAGCUUUUCGGUGUACGGAGAGGAAGAGCGUUGGUUCCAGCGAGUUCUCCCUGCCAGGUCCGCCCGGUGCCGGCUUCCUCGUUUCCCCUGGCGACUCGUCAGCACUCCCUCCCGUGAACGCGGUCCCAGUGGCGGCUCUUCCCUCAGCCGGAGCUCCGGCGUCUGGGCUUCAGAAGCCGCCCGAGGUGGCUGCGCGGCCUUCUAGAGCCCUGGUCCAGCCCCUUGCCCACCGAGGCGUGAUCCUCUUUUUCUGUCCUGAAGAACUUGGCCCAAUGGCUUCCUCUGCCCGCUUCUAAGGUUCUUUUCGAAACCCAGAAGACAGUGCACGGAGCCAGGGGACAUCAGCCAUGCUCCAAACAUCUUGGCCUCAGCCCCGUGAUGGAGACAUUCUCAUUCCACUUAGAGACGAGGAGCUGGAAGCCGAGAGAAGCUAAGACCUUGCCGAAGACCACACAGAGUGGACAGUCAUUAAACAGUGAUUGCAUUGUUGUGACUAUGUAAACGUCGUUCACUGCAGAGCCAACCAGUGUGCUGUGAGGACGCCACCCUCCUCCAGCAGGAUGCUCCACGGUAUGGCUGGUGAGUGGAGAAGGUCCGUGCCCAGGAUCUGAACCUGUGAACCUGGGCUGCCGAAGAGGAGCACAAGGAACUUUAACCACUUGACCAUGGGGCCGGCCCCCCGGCUGGGCUUUCUUAAUACUUAAAAAUAAGAUAAGGUUUGGACAGGGCCACCCUCCAUCUGAAGGCUCUAGGGGGAGAACCUUCCUUGCCUCUUCCAGGUUCUGGUGGCCCUGGGAGUUCCUGACUGUGGCAGCAUCACUCCAGUCUCUGCCCUCAUUUUCCCACGGCCUUCUCUGUGUCUUCAGAGGGCUUUCUUCUCUGUAUCUGGGUCUUCUCUUCUUGUGUCUCUUAUAAGGAAACCUGCCACUGGACUUAGGGCUAAUCCGGGUAACACUGGAUGAUCUCAUCUUGAGAUCCUUAACUUAAUUAUAUCUGCAAAGACCCUUUUUCCAAAUAAGGUCAUAUUCAUGGGUUCUAAGUGGACAUAUCUUUUGAGGAGUCACCAUUCAACACAGAGCAGUGGGGCUUCUUGAUGUCCGCUGAACAUAAAUUGUGGUACACAUGUGCUUGACCAUGCCUAUACGAGACAGGUGGGCCCCCAGUUCUCUUAUUCACCCAGCCACUUGGAAUUGGGGAUGAAAGCAUGAGACGUUACCAGUGGAAGAAUAAAUAUGAGUGAAUGGAGCCUGAGACUUUGCCUCUGCACGUGCCCACCAGUCAUGGUGCCCAGUCCACAACUCUGCCUCUGACCAAGCAGAUCAGCAUCUCCUCUUCCUGGAGGGGAUGGAAAGAACUAGGAGGACAGUGAGUGGAGAGGAGACCUCCUGGCAUGGGGAGGAGGAGCUGUGGAAAUGUUCCCAAGAAGGAACUGACACAUGCUUUAAUCUUUCUGGUUUCUGAAAUUGGUUAUCUCAAGGGGCUUUCACCCCCACAGUGGGGGUGAAAGCAUUACCUGGAGUAGAGUGGCCUUGUUUUGGGGACCCUGGUCAUCGAGGGGAUAGAUGGGAAUGAGUGUGAAAGCUGGAUUAGUUUGAGAGAUCUUCCAGCCUGAGGAGCCUCAAGAGGAGACAGAAGAGAGAGCCAGGCUGGUGGGGAUGUCCCCUCAGUAGAGAGCAGUGAAGUGUUUCCCAGGGGCCUGGGGGCUGUAACACCUGCUGCAGUAGCCAUAAAGGCCUUUGUUAUCAUAGCAUGGGCCACAGUUUCCCUCAGGUUUCAGAAUCAAGGGUGGCAAUGACCAUGAGAGCCGAGCUUGUAAUGCUCAUUAAAAAUGAUGAUCCUUCUUGUCCCAAGGACCAGAGUUAUGAAAAGUUUCCAGAAGAAAGAGGGCUUCACAAUGGUGUAAUGGUUCAGUUUGUACACUCUGCUUCGGCGCCCGGGGUGUGCCGGUUCCGAUGCCCAGUGUGGACCCAUGCACGGCUCAUCAGGCCAUGCUGUGGCAGGCCUCCCACAUAUAAAAUAGAGGAACAUGGGCACAGAUGUCAGCUCAGGGCCAGUCUUCCUCAGUAAAAAGAGGAGGAUUGGUGGCAGAUGUUAAGUCAGGGCUAAUCUUCCUCAAAAAAAAAAAAAAAAUGAAAGAGGGCCUCAGCUAGUGUUUAAAAGCAGCAGCCACAAACUACCCACCGACUCCAACUGGGCUGCAAGAAGAGAGCACUUGUGGAAGAGGCAGAGGAAAAGUUUCAUCAUUUUUACCAUCGUGGUUCCCCCUCCUCCCCUUUCAAGGAACUAGAAGACCAUCCUGAGAUAAUUGUUUCAGGAGACAAAAGUGACAAGCAGAAAGCAGAAUGUAGCCUGCAGGUUUCUUCCUGACUUUGGGAUCCAAAAACAGAAGCCGUCAGGGGAUGGAGGGGACUCCGGACACAGACAAAAUGCUCAGGAGACAUGGCAUGAGGGAGAGCAGAUUGUGGUGGUCCUAGUAAGAGAGAGACCCCAGUUCUGGUUUCUCAGUGCAGCGUCGGGGAAGCAGCCAAGGCUGACACAGGCAGACAGGAUCUGGGAGUGGGCUUCUGUGUUCUGUUUCCUGGGUAGAGCCCUGGGGGGGUGGGAGCGGUGAUGUAGCAUGUUUUGAUAGACUAAUACAGGGAUUCUGUCACCCCCACAAGGCAUGGCCUACACACAGGGAAGAGAGCUGCUGGGCCUGAGGGAGCUGGAGGAUAGGAAAAGAGGACGACUCAGCAGCACCUUGUGCAGCCUGGUGACCAAGGAUGAUGGGAUGGGGAUGCCUUAGCUGAUACCUAAGGGGUCAGGUGACUUGCCUAUCAGUUGUUCCAUCCCAGUCUGUCCUUGCCGUGCCUUGUCCCUCUAGAAAUUCCGAGGAACUUUGACUUAAACUGUGUUAGUUUGAUUUUCCCUGAAAACAGAGCCUGAGACAAGGAUUCAUGUGCAAGUGGUUUAUUUGGGAGGAGAUCCAGGAAGCAGAAGUGAGGAGGUGGGAGGAGUGAGUCAGGGAAGGAUGAGAGGCCAAUAAAGGGAACAUUAAUGAGCAGGUUACCACUGCAAGUACCUGGGGCUCUGUUUCUUGGGGCACAUUCUGAAGAAUAAGCCUCAAGUUUGUCUUCCUAGAGGACAGGAGGCUGGGGCACCUCCCCCCUGACACAGCAAAGCAGAGAGGCCUGGUGGCGUGUGCUUGACUUGAGCACUGGCAGCGUACCUGGACCCUUGUGUACUUGUCCCCCACAACUGGGCUGAAGCCAGGUGCCCGACGGGAUGUGGUGUGGAGCAUCCCAAGCACCUGCUGUAGAGCCCUGGGAAGGGCAGGGGCAAGCAAUUGCCUGAGUUUAAGUUACAUCACCCUGGUGGAAUGGGCUUCAAAGAGAAAUUAAGUUGAAUAAUGGAAAACUAAAGAAAGUUUUAUAUUUAUUAGACACCUGUAUUUGUAGACUGAGAUUUUAUAUCUGCUUUAUGUAAGAUAUUCAAGUUGACUAAUGUCAGUCUGGUAUAAUGGAAAGAACAUAAAUUUUAGAGUCAGACCAGCAUUGGAUUUGAAUUCAGGUCCUAUCACUUAGUUGCUGUGUAACUGUGGGUUAAUCAUAUCACCUCUCUGAUCUUCAUUCCUGCCUGUGUCAAACCAGGAAUGAUGACAUUUGCCUUGAAGUGUUGUUGAGGGUUUUCAAUAUGCAUCAUUUCACUAAACCUUAGUUAGUUUCCUUUACAUGGUGUGGUCUGCUUACUCUUAACAAAAUCUUUUUGUUAUUUGAAAAGUUCUUAGCAAAGAUAUUCCUUCUGGAUACUGCUGUAAACAGAUUUAAAUGGGGUGAACCCAGAUGUCCUUAAUGUCCUUGUCCUCAUGGCCCUGGUGUCUGCAGUCAUACCUGGAAAGGAGGCCACAUAGAGAGUGCUUCUUUCUGUCCAACCAUGACAAAUAUUGCACAUGGGCAUGUUUUCCCAACUGACCUUUUGGAAUUAAGCAUUUGACUUUGGUAUUUGUUUUGGGGUUGGAAACAGUAGAGUAGAGGAAUUCCCUUCCUUUCUCCUUUCCAGCCUCUCUCCCCACAUGCCAAUAAAACCUGAAUUCUUUAGUUCCUUGCUACAAGUGGUGAAAAAUGCAUCUGUAUUUGCAAAAGCCAAAUCUACUGUGGCUGGAUGGAGCUGCCAUCAAGGCUUAAAAAAACUGGUGAGGUGGCGGCACUGCCUGGUGUAGGGCCCUCAUUAAAAACUGGCUGACUCAGUGGAAAGACUCUGCAGACAAGAUGUUUGCAUCCACGGAGGGGCUGCGCUUGUAGUGGGUCGUAACUUUCUGUGCUGAAAGCAAGGUGUGGACGCUCAAGGAAAUGACUCUGCUCUGGGCUUCCUUGUCCCUCCAUGGUACCUAGCACAGUGGCCUUGCUUCGUGGGCUGCUCUCGCCUAGAUUGACAGCACAGCAUCUGGGCACACUCAGAACUCUCCAUAGCCCCUGCUCACUCACCGGGGAAGCCUCAGGAAUGCUAUGAAAAGUCCUGGAAGCUCAGCUCCAGAACCUGGCUAGGCAUCAUUUCCAAAUUCUCUCUGAGCCCGCUUACUCUCCUCUGGUGUCCUCAGUGGCCCUUCCAGCUGGAGUCUGCCUCCCUGCUCAGUCCUCUGGCAGGAUAUCAAGUUGGCUUUUAUGUUUUCUUUUCACCCUGAUGCUUUCUCUUAGCUGGCCUCCCUAGACUUCUUGCUUUGAGAGGAGAGUUUAUCUCAGUCCAUGAAUUACUAUCAUGUCUUAGUCAGUUUUUAUUGCAAUAAUGGAGCAUAACAAACAGCACACCUUUAUUGUUUUUGCUUAUUGGUCUAUGGAGCAGUGAAGGUGGCUCUGCUUCAGACUGUGGGUCACCAUGGGAUUCCUCCCUCUGCUCCCAGAGGCUCCUCCAUGGCAGCUGGCAGACGCUCAAGAGGCUAAGCUAAAUUAAGCAAGUGCAUUUAAAGCCUCUGCUCACUUCAUAUCCACUGACAUUCCACUGGGCAAAGCAAGUCACAUGGCGCAGCCCAUUGAGAGUGGGAUGGAGAUGUACAUCCCUCCUCUUCCAGUGGGGGGCACUACAGAGUCACAUGGCAAAGGAUAUGGAUGCAUAAUGUUAUCAUAGGAGUAGGGAAGAGUUGGAAAGAGUAAUCCAAUUUACUACAUUGUACCAGGCCCCAUGCUCAGGACAGCCUCUGGGCAGUCUGGAGUAGAGAAACAUCUGAUGUCCAAGGAGAGAAAUUCCCCUCUGAUAAGUUAUCUUUCUGUGAAUUACCAAGAGAUUCUCCUUGUGGGCAGAUUGAUUAUCAAAGGGGCCCCUUCCUUUGGGGUAAUCCAGCCUCUAGUGUGGGUGCUUGGCCUGGCAAGUGGAGGAUGGGCUGGAAUUCAGCCCCCUUCACUCUUUGGGUGGGCACCCUACUAUAGGGUCAGUCUACAAGUCUGUAGGCUGUGAUGCUGUGCCCACCCAAGGGGUGGCUCCCAGGGCCUGGGGAAGCACUUUGGUCACAACUGACUUCAAGCUAUGCAGGUUGGAGUAGUCUGGGAUAGUUUUCUGCUUUUGUCAAUCCAAGUCAAAAAGCUGGGGUUUUGAUUUUUCUUUUUGACUCCACCUUCAGAAAAUAAUGUGGAUUUUUUCUUCCCAGAAGUGGCCUCUCCAGCCAACCACAUAGGCCAAAGCCAAUGUAAAAGAAAGGAGAUGGUUAUGAAACGCUUCUAAUUGUAGAGUGGCACAUUUGUCUUGGAAGAAAGGCCUUCUUCUUCUUUCCCCAGGAAUGACCACACAACCCACAAUUACCCUCACAUUCCAACAUCAGAGGGAACACCACAUCUCUCUGAACAAGAGUAAUAGCCAAGUCUGACAAUACAGGCCCCUGAGUGCAGUGGUCCACGUUGACGGGUCCUGCAGGGCAAAUGAAGUAGGCAGUGCCCUCCUCUGCUACUGUCCUUUAGUUUUUGUGGUGAGCAGGUGUGAGUGUGUCAUUUGCACAUUUAUACUUGGUAAUUACCAGAAAUACAACAAAUGGAUGGGAACUCCAGAGUCUCCAUCAAUCAUCACAGCUUCAGUUUGAGUUUGGAGGCAAGACCCAGGCUUUGGUAGAUGGAAUUGUUGACUCUGCAUCCUUUAACCUGCCCUACAUCCUCACCCUUGCUGUGGCCUCACUGCGGGUGGGUGCAGUCCCCACCCCUUGACUUUGGGCUCAGCCAUGUGACUUCCUUGAGCCAGUGAUAUACAGGCAGAAGUGAGGGAGUGCCAUUUGCAAGCCCAGGCCUUAACAAGACUUGGAUGUUUCUGAUUUUUCUCUUGAGCUCAGAGAAGACCUUCUAGGUGUCUGCAUCCCCCUUAGUCUGGGCCCUAGGAUGAAUGUGGAGUAGAAAUGAGCCAAGCUUCAGUGAAAGCCAAGAUGAGCUAUAUCCAAAGCUUGAGGCAGAGCCAUGCAGCCAAGCCCAGCCUGGACUGGCCAACCUCCAGCAGACCCGCAGACACAUGACUGAAUAUGAAUGAUUAUUACUAAGAUCUGGGGUGGUUUGUUACAUAGCAUUAUUGUAGCAACAGUUAACUGAUUCACUUGUUUUCUUGGAGAAUGUCAUAGUAUACUGACCUUGGACACCAGACAUGGCUGGGACACAGGAAGCAACCCCAGCAGAAAGGCCACUCUCUUUCUGACUUGAGGGCUGGGAUCUGCAUGAAGGAGAAAGUGUGUGACUCAAUUAAGAUACAAUUAAGAUCCUCCUCCAUGGUCUCCCUUUCAUCCUCCGUCCUCAUUAUCCCGCUUCCUUUUCUUCUCACCGUGGGAAUGGUGCUGCUGUUGCAUGCUGAUGAGUUUGUCUGUGGCCCAACUUCUGAACUAGAGAUGUCUGGGUAAUUAAUUUGGAUUUAAGCUCCUCUAGCCAGCCCUUGAUAGACCCACGACUGAGUGCAUUGGAAGGCCUUGAUUUCUCCUGGGCAUUUUUUUGGUACUUAGAGGUCAAGAGUCAUUUGGUACCUGUCUAUCUACAGUCAGUCUCAAAGUGAGUUUUGAAAAAUGUAUGAAAAUGUACACUUGUUUCAAGUGACUUAGCUUACUCCUGGGAACCUCCCCACUCCCCCCUAAUGCUGUGAAGUUUUUGCAUUUCAUCUCUGCAAUUUGGUUACAGAGCAAUUCUCCCCUAUGAAAGUAUGAAAUAUUUGCUGGGCAUGAGGCUUGACUGGAGCUCAGGCAGAAUAUGGACACCUUGACACAAGGUCCCCAUUGAAGUAGGUUGAUGAGAAGGUAGAAAUAAAAAUGUAACUCCAAAAGACAAAUGGGGAAUUAACUCAAGAAGUAAUAGCCCCAGGUUUAUAUGUCAUUGUUUCUGGAUGCACAAUGUACUUUCCAAUUUGUCAUAUUUCUUUGCCUUCUCUCUACACCCUUUGAAUCUCCUGGAAGGCCUAGUCUUUCUAGAUUUCUAGAUCAGAAUUAAAUGAAACCACUUGUACUCUGAAAUCCUGUAGUGCUUGCUAUAAUGGCUUUCAAAAUUUUUGCUAUGUCCCAUGGUAAGAAAUGAAUUUUGCAUCAGUUCUUAACACACACACACACACAUUUUUAUAUAGGUCUAGUUUAAAGUUGAAUCUUUGUCUUGGUCUGGGUCCUCCCAGAAGUAGACUCUAAGAUAAGGAUUAAAGUUCAAGUGGUUUAUUUGGGAGAUGAUGCCAGGAAAGACCAGUAGAAGAGUGGGGCAGUGAACCAGGGAAAGGACGGAAGAUAUUAGAGUAUGUGUUAUCAACAGGUGCGUAAUCUCACUGGGGAACUCUGGAAAUAGUUUUCGAGCCAGCCUUCAAGUUGGCCCCCAGUGAUCCUUGCCUCCUGGUAUUUAUGUCCUUGCAUAAUUCCCUCCCACAUUGAACUAUGUGUGUGGCCCGUGCGUCCAAUAGAACGUGCCAGGAGUGAUGGUAUCCUGGUAGGCAGCCUUUGAGAAGGCCCCAGUUCUCUCCACCUCCUGGAACUCAUGGCCUUGUGUGAUCCCCACCCUAGAGUGUGGGCUACUUACAACCAAUAAGAAGUGACUCAGUUCUAACCAAUAGAAUAUGGUUAUAUUAUAUUGUCAAUAGAAUAUGACAAAGAUGAUGGAUGUCACUUCUGAGAUUAGGUCACAAAACGACUCUGGCUUUUGCCUUUCUUAUA